UACGUAGGGUGCAAGCGUUGUCCGGGAUUAUUGGGCGUAAAGAGCUCGUAGGCGGUUUGUCGCGUCUGCUGUGAAAACCCGAGGCUCAACCUCGGGCCUGCAGUGGGUACGGGCAGACUAGAGUGCGGUAGGGGAGAUUGGAAUUCCUGGUGUAGCGGUGGAAUGCGCAGAUAUCAGGAGGAACACCGAUGGCGAAGGCAGAUCUCUGGGCCGUAACUGACGCUGAGGAGCGAAAGCAUGGGUAGCGAACAGG
rnacentral:rRNA from 1 species